GCCUUCUUAGCUCAGGGGUAGAGCGUUGCACUUGUAAUGCAAUGCAAAGGUCGCUAGUUCAAAUCUGGUAGGAGGCA